rnacentral:rRNA from 1 species
UACAGAGGGGGCAAGCGUUGUUCGGAAUUACUGGGCGUAAAGGGCGUGUAGGCGGCCUGUUAAGUCGAACGUGAAAUCCCCGGGCUCAACCCGGGAACUGCGUCCGAUACUGGCAGGCUUGAAUUCGGGAGAGGGAUGCGGAAUUCCAGGUGUAGCGGUGAAAUGCGUAGAUAUCUGGAGGAACACCGGUGGCGAAGGCGGCAUCCUGGACCGAGAUUGACGCUGAUGCGCGAAAGCCAGGGGAGCAAACGGG